rnacentral:RNase_P_RNA from 1 species
CCAGUUGGCCGGGCAGCCGCGCUUUACCAAUGCCGAAAGGCGGUAGGGUGAGGAAAGUCCGGGCUCCACGGAAACACGGUGCCGGAUAACGUCCGGCGAGGGCGACCUCAGGGAAAGUGCCACAGAAAGGAAACCGCCCCGCUUGCUGUGCUGCUCGUGAAGAGCCGCAGAGCUGGCGGGGUAAGGGUGAAAGGGUGGGGUAAGAGCCCACCGCGUCUCUGGCAACAGAGGCGGCAAGGUAAACCCCACCGGGAGCAAGACCGAAUAGGGAUGACGCGGGUUCCGCUUGUCGGGGCUACAGCCUGUUUCCGGGCCAGUCAUCCGGGUGGGUUGCGUGAGGCAGCGUGCGAACGCUGUCCCAGAUGAAUGGCUGCCACGUUCCGAUGCUUGCAUCGGUGCCAUACAGAACCCGGCUUACAGGCCAACUGGCAAU